GAGUUUGAUCCUGGCUCAGGAUGAACGCUAGCUACAGGCUUAACACAUGCAAGUCGAGGGGAAACGAUAUUGGAAGCUUGCUUCCGAUAGGCGUCGACCGGCGCACGGGUGAGUAACGCGUAUCCAACCUGCCCAUCACUUGGGGAUAACCUUGCGAAAGUAAGACUAAUACCCAAUGAUAUCUCUAGAAGACAUCUGAAGGAGAUUAAAGAUUUAUCGGUGAUGGAUGGGGAUGCGUCUGAUUAGCUUGUUGGCGGGGUAACGGCCCACCAAGGCGACGAUCAGUAGGGGUUCUGAGAGGAAGGUCCCCCACAUUGGAACUGAGACACGGUCCAAACUCCUACGGGAGGCAGCAGUGAGGAAUAUUGGUCAAUGGACGAGAGUCUGAACCAGCCAAGUAGCGUGCAGGAUGACGGCCCUAUGGGUUGUAAACUGCUUUUAUAAGGGAAUAAAGUGAGAGUCGUGACUCUUUUUGCAUGUACCUUAUGAAUAAGGACCGGCUAAUUCCGUGCCAGCAGCCGCGGUAAUACGGAAGGUCCGGGCGUUAUCCGGAUUUAUUGGGUUUAAAGGGAGCGUAGGCCGGAGAUUAAGCGUGUUGUGAAAUGUAGACGCUCAACGUCUGCACUGCAGCGCGAACUGGUUUCCUUGAGUACGCACAAAGUGGGCGGAAUUCGUGGUGUAGCGGUGAAAUGCUUAGAUAUCACGAAGAACUCCGAUUGCGAAGGCAGCUCACUGGAGCGCAACUGACGCUGAAGCUCGAAAGUGCGGGUAUCGAACAGGAUUAGAUACCCUGGUAGUCCGCACGGUAAACGAUGGAUGCCCGCUGUUGGUCUGAAUAGGUCAGCGGCCAAGCGAAAGCAUUAAGCAUCCCACCUGGGGAGUACGCCGGCAACGGUGAAA
rnacentral:rRNA from 1 species